UACAUGGGGUGCAAACGUUGCUCGGAAUUAUUGGGCGUAAAGCGCGCGUAGGCGGUUACUUAAGUCGGAUGUGAAAGCCCUCGGCUUAACUGAGGAAGUGCACCCGAAACUGAGUAGCUAGAGUACGAAAGAGGGUCGCGGAAUUCCCGGUGUAGAGGUGAAAUUCGUAGAUAUCUGGAGGAACACCGGUGGCGAAGGCGGCAUUCUGGACCGAUAUUGACGCUGAGGAGCGAAAGCCAGGGGAGCAAACGGG
rnacentral:rRNA from 1 species